ensembl:lncRNA
CCCAUCUCUGAUAGAUACAUCAGAGCCAGCAGCAAAUUCCAGAACUUCUGGCUGAGGUGAGGCUGCUCUCAGCGGGUUCAUGAGCACUGAACAGCCGCUGACGCUCUGGAGCUCACAUCUCCCAAAACGUCGAAGCAAAUUUUCAUAUAGACAAUAUAUUUAUUAACAAAUCGCAUAUUUGAAGUCUAAACCAGUACAUUCUCGCCUAAAAAAUACACUUAAAACUACAUCCGUGACACAAAAACAGUAUAAUUUAUAACAUUUUAGUGGAAUUGGGCGUCCACCAUGACAUCACUUGAAUAUCGCACUCUUAUCAGCCAAUCAGAUUUGAGGACCAGAAAAACUGCUUUAUAUACUGUAUAUAUCAUGUGUAUGUGUGUAAAUGAGUAGCCUACUGUAUGUAUGUUUAGAGUUAUGUGUUGUCAAUGUAAAGAUUCUUAUAAAUAUGCCAAUAAAAGUAGCCUAUGUGUCACGAAUCCUGUCAAUGAACUUCAGACUGUUACACAUCACCCUGGACUACAUUUCCCAUGCUCCAUUGCACUUAUCACAAGUUCACCUGAAACCAAUCACACACAGCUGCUACCAAUAACACACAGUAUAUAAAUCAGUCUCACACCACCAUUCACUGCCGAGUAUUGUUUGCGUUUAUUCCUCAGUCAGUGAUAGCACUUUACGGAGCUAUUCCGUUUUUUCAUAGUUUAACCUUGUUUAUUGCCUGAGUCAUUCAUGUCUUGAUCCUAGCCUGUGUUUGUCAUUUCUUUGUGUUCUCUGCCUGCCCUGAAGUUUAUAGCCUGUCUUUGAUUACCCCUCUCGUCUUGCUCUGUUCGGAUAAUACUUACCCCUCGCCUGGACCAUAGCCUGUGUUUCGGAUUUACCCUUUGGAUUACUCUGUUUUGAUAUUGUUCGCUGGAGAUCAACCAUGCCCAAUCACUGGACUACUCUUACAUCUUGCCCUCAAUAUGCCUGUUUGCCAUCGUCUGACUCUCACCUGUUUUGACCAUGUCCUUAAAUAAAGCUUGCACAUGGAUCCGCAUGCCUCACAUCUCGUCGGCUCCGUUACAGAAUGCUCAGCCAAACAAGUAUCCAGCACCUUUUCAGAGGAACAUUGGCCAGGCCCCAGUUCAUGCCAUGGGUUCCUGAUCACUCUGGUUCACCGUGGUGGUCUGCCAAUAUGCUUUGGUGGGCCAAAGCUCCGUCUGCUCUGUCGUGGUGGUUUUCGGCUGCGCGCUGCUGGCCUUCUGCUCUAGCCUGGUGGUCUUCUGCUCAGUCUGCUCCGGCCUGGUGAUCUUCUGUCCUGCUCUGGUGGUCUUCUUCCAAAAGAAGUCAAAUAAAGUGUAUCCAUCCAUAAUAAGUGCCUCACAUGGCUCCGGGGGUGAACAAAGGCCUCCUGUAGUGAAUCGAUGCGUUUUUGUAAGAAAAAUGUCUAUAUUUAAAAUGUAAUAAUCACUUUAAUGUAGCUUUUGCCAACAGUUGUACACAGAAGCAGCUCCAGGAGGAUUUUUUUAUAUAUAACUUAAAAAUUUGGAUUCAUCUGAAAGAAGAAAGUCAUAUAAACCUAGGAUGCCUUGAAG